rnacentral:rRNA from 1 species
CAGCAGCCGCGGUAAUACGGAGGGGGCUAGCGUUGUUCGGAAUUACUAGGCGUAAAGCGCAUGUAGGCGGCUUGGUAAGUUAGAGGUGAAAGCCCGGAGCUCAACUCCGGAAUUGCCUUUAAGACUGCCGGGCUAGUGGGUGAGAGAGGUAAGUGGAAUUCCGAGUGUAGAGGUGAAAUUCGUAGAUAUUCGGAAGAACACCAGUGGCGAGGGCGGCUUACUGGCUCAUUCUAGACGCUGAGGCGCGAAAGCGUGGGGAGCAAACAGGAUUAGAUACCCCUGUAGUCCCUGUCUCUUAUAC